GUUAAGGUAUAGGUUAAGGUAUGGGUUAAGGUAUAGGUUAAGGUAUAGGUUAAGGUAUAUGUUAAGGUAUAGGUUAAGGUAUGGGUUAAGGUAUAGGUUAAGGUAUAGGUUAAGGUAUGGGUUAAGGUAUAGGUUAAGGUAUAGGUUAAGGUAUGGGUUAAGGUAUAGGUUAAGGUAUGGGUUAAGGUAUAGGUUAAGGG